GUCGGGCUCCCUUCCCUGUGCUGACCCAGGGCUGCUGGGCUCUGGGCUGCAGGACUGAGCUCCGGCCACCAGGUGGUGCCCCUCCAGCCCGGCUCCUUAGCCCCCAGCAGGGAAUGGACACAGGGGGGCCCGGUGGGUUCCUGGGGCCCUUGGCGGGGUCUCCUCUGACGACCCCUGCGACAUCCACUCUUGCCCGCAGACUCGCCCACUUCCAGGACUCCAUCCCCGAGGGCGUGCCUGUCUUUGGGGAGGGGGACAUGAACCCCAUGUUCGUCUACCGCAAGUCCCUGAUGAGGACAGACUACGUGGCCCAGGGGGAGGAGGAGCCCGCCACCAACCCGUUUGACGCCAUAUGCAAAGACAGCAAGCGGCCCCAAGAGCUGCCUGUGGGGACGUGCUCCACCUGGACACCAGACACCCUGGCCAGCUCCAGCACGGGGGACAGAGAGCCGAGAAACUCCUCCAAGGGUCAGAAGUCCAACAGGGACGUCUUUGAUGUUGACUUCCUGUCAUCAGAGGACUCUGAGAACUCUUCUAACGAAGACGUGGAUGUGGAGGGCAUCUCCGUCCACGAGGUCGGUGCGGGCUGGGCCUCUGGCUGGUGGCUGCGUGGGGGUGCUGACCUGGGCCUGCCUUUCCUGCUACGGCCCCCACAUCCCAGGGUGGUGUAGAGGUGGGACGUCCCAUCUGAUGUGGCUUCUGUGCCCAAUGGGGUGGGAGCAGGUCCAUCUGCACAUUCACAGAGGGGUCGGGGGGGCGGUACGGGGUCUG
rnacentral:lncRNA from 1 species